AGGCAUUCAUUUUUAUUUUAUUUCAGAGUACAGUUGACUUACAGUGUUGUGUCAGCUUCAGGUGUACAGCAAAGGGUUUCAGUGACCUGUACAUAAACCCAUUCUUCUCCCCGCACUGUUUCUUUGUGGCGGUGCCUGUGGCAUGCGGAAGGUCCCCAGUCAGGGAUCGAACCCGAGCCACAGCAGUGAUGACACUGGAUCCGUAAGCUGCUGAGUCACCAGGGAACUCCGCCCCCAGGUAUUUCUUAUCGUGCCUUUUUUUUUUUUUUCCCCACACAACUUGGCCCAUUAAAAAACAGGGCACCUGCUUCGCCUGGGAUGCAGCAGUAGAAAGGGCCGCGUGUUCCCUCGUGAGAGAAGGACGUUCUCCCGGACUGUCGUGGGGACGCUGGGUCUACGCGGGGCAUUGUGAGGGACGUGAGGUCCUUCUCAGGGUAGCUUUCAGCCCACGGCCAACACUGGGCCCAUCGAUCCUCGUGGAUCGUCCGCGCUCUGCAGUUUUCCUACCCUGGCUUUAUGACCUUGAGAGAGACAUUGACCUUCCCGGACCUCGGCUUCCUCAUCUGCUGACGGAGAUGCGCCGUCUUUCAGGCACCUUUCAGUGCCAACGUUCUGUGGUCCCAGGGAACAUGGCUCCACGCAUGGAACGUUAGAAAAACAUUUUGCGCAGUGAAAAUGUGUGAGCUUCCUGGUGGCCUGGUAGUUAGGGUUUGGGGUUUUCACUGCUGCGGCCCAGGUGUAGUCCCUGGUCUGGUAACUGAGACCCCACAUCAGGAUGCUGCGAGCUGCAGCCAAAAAAAAAAAAAAAAAAAAAAAAAUCACUGAUUUGUGUAUUCUUCCUCUCAGAGCCACGGCCCUUGAAGGGCCUUCACCUCCCACUUCUCACCUCAUCCAAAGGCCCCGGUGUCCUCUUCUCAGGGUACCCCAGGGACCACCCAAUGGCCUCAACUUGAUUACGUGCGCAAAAAACCUAUUUUGAAGUGUCAAGUGCACAGGUUCUGGGAGUUGGGGAGCUGAACCUGUAACCUGCAGGCACACUGAGGUAGUGGUCUUGGCUGGACCUAAGUACUUCGAAAAAGACCCUAUUUCCAGAGAAGCUCUCUGUGGAGCGCCAGGGAGACACGGACGUCGGGGGGACACUAUUCAACCCAGUGCGACAGGUGCCGUUGAGCCGCUGGAGCCUCUAUGCUGCCUUAGGGCUGAGGGACGGGGGUGGGGGGUGGCCUCCCACUCAGGGAUCUGCCCCCACCCUCCCAGGCUCCAGCACCACCCCCAGGGACUGGGGGCGUGACUCACACCUUCCGCGGUGGGCUCCCUGCCCGAACACAUCGGCUUGGAAAACCGGCUCCCAGCACCUGGGGCCUUGUGUGUGAAGCCUACACCAUAAGCCUCAGGACCUGCCGGGAGAGUUCCCGAAGGCGGUUCCCGCGUCCCGCCGACAUCCGGAAGGACCCUUCCUGCCUGACCGCCCCUGACGGCAGAAGCACCAGCCAAAGGAUCGCCACUGGGCCGGUGUCCCCUUAGCCGAGGGGGUCUCUGCUUUUCUCGGGCUAAUACGGCCCCUCCGUGCCCUUGGCUGGACGUCAGAGCCCGUCCAGCCGUGCCCAUCCUCCACACUGUCCACCAGCAGGCUGCAGCCCUGACCCCGUCCUCCUGCUGCUCAGCGUCCUCCUGGAGCCCCGGCUGCACCAUGAACUCAGAAUGGCAGGUGGGCAGCAGUUUGUUUAAAAGUCCCCAGAUCAGAGUUCCCUGGUGGCCUAGUGGUUAAGGAUCCAGCAUUGUCACUGCUGUGGCCUGUUUAUGGCCGUGGCACAGGUUCGAUUCCUGGAACUUUCGCAUGACGUGGGCGCCACCAAAAAAAAAAAAAAAAAAUUCCACUCUCUUGUUCCAGAAGGUUCUGCUACAGCUAGUGAGGGUGCACAGGCUGAAUGCAGGGGGUACAGCAAGGACACUCGUGACCAGGCUGCUAGGGAACCCCCAGGGGCAUGAGGUCAGAGGCCAGAGCCUGGCCCCCAGUCCACCCCCCAGGCGCCCUGGUGGCAGCCAGCCUCCUGCCCUUCGCUAAAGAGGAUUUCCUGGUGGCAGGUUUUAAAGAACAUCUGAGCGCGGAGACCCUGGGACACAGGAAGGCAGCAGGGAUGGCCUGGAGGACAGGUGCCGGCCCCUCAGGGGUGACCAGGACACCUGCGUGACGUGCUUCCUGAGUUUUCUCCACGGAAGAAUCCUGAAUUAGGGGUCUCAUGCCACGCUGUCCCAAACUGAGAACACGUGUGGACACAGGUGGCACAAUCCCACUAACAAAAUUACCCCAAAACCCUUAGCGCCCCGGCACAUGCAACUCCCAUCGUCCGUGGCCGGUGUGUUCACACCACUCGCGGUCUGUGUGCGGGAGGGGGUGGCUUUCCUCCUCGAGGCCUCCCGGGCAGGGCUGGCCCUCCAUCCUCCCCGCCCCCCGCCAGCGAGGCCGCCUCGGCUCGAUGCCACCCUCCUCCACCAAGGACAGGCAAGCGCUCGGGAGCUCGGGCGGGGGCCUCAGCCGGGGAGUGAAACCGCGUGAGCCGCCAGCUGCGCGGAGCCUGGACUCGAGUGCAGUGGGCCCAGGGGGCUGACCUGGCCCUGGCGGCUGCCCGACCGUGGAAUCGCCUGGGGACACCAGAGCGUGCUGACCGGGCAGGACCCGGGCGCCCGGCCGAGCAGCCUUUGUCUCUGGCGCCAGCGGGCUCUGCCAGUUUGAGCCUGUCUUUCUCCUACUCCAAUGCCUCCAAAUGCGCCCACACACCAGAGAUUAGCCGACAGCAAUCUGCUCGGGGACGCCCCUCGGCUGAGGCCGUGAUGGGACCUGCUGACCAAGCGGCCCGCCUGCCCCCCACACCC
ensembl:lncRNA